AUUAUUUUCUUCUGGUUUUUCAAAAAAUACAGGAGAAGUUGAAGUCCCAAAAUUUGAUGAAUGUUAAAUGCUCUGUUGACAAGAAGUUCAAUUUUCCCGGCUAAAAUCCUAAAUAUUUUGGUUGAGCGGGAAAGCAGUAGAUAAGGCUAAUUGCAGUUUUCUUCUCCGUAGAUGUAGUUGCAAGAGUUGUACUUGUACUUCUCUUUGGCCAUUUUCUUUGUGGUCUACUCAUUAAUGGUCUAUAUCUUUUAGUCUUCUUCUGCCUUUCGUCUUCACGUUGACAAACACUUCUUUUAUUCUGGGUUCUCUAUAGAUUAUGUAUAUGUAUUUGCUUGUUAUAUGUUUUGGCAAUCUUGUAUUUGUUGGUUUAGAUUCUAUGCUUCAAUCAUAGAUCUUUCUGAUAAAUUCAAAUUCUUGAAAGUAAUAGACUUGGUGGUGAGAAGUUCACCGUAAAGGGUUGAUUAUAGAACCCAAUGGAAACCAUCCUUGGACAUUGAGAAGUGAAGAUGAAGUUGACUUCUCAUAAGGGAAAGCAACUAGAAGUGGUGUGCAAUUUUGGAAGCCUAUAAUUUAAAGGAAUUGUGAUUGACUUUAAUGAUAAUACCACUGAAGUUGAUAUAACAGGAAAGUGCAUUUUUGUUAUAGUACUUCAUUGACAUUGCUGGCCGGAGGCAGGAGUAUUGGGAUGGCUAUCACAAAUAUGAAUUACAAAGUCUCCAAAAAUCAGUGUCACAUGCAAUGCUUUGAUGGGGCUAUAUUCAGAUAUUCUUGUUGAUUUAAAAUAUUUAUGUAUUUUAAUUUUUCUUUAGACUUCCUUUUAUAUGUACACUUUUAAUGUACCAUUUUUGUUUAAACUCAUUGUAGUUUUACGGUUUGCUUUGUAAGAAUUGAAUGAUAAAAUUAUA